rnacentral:rRNA from 1 species
UACGAAGGGGGCUAGCGUUGUUCGGAAUUACUGGGCGUAAAGCGUGCGCAGGCGGCUUCUCAAGUCAGGGGUGAAAGCCCAGAGCUCAACUCUGGAACUGCCUUUGAGACUGAGAAGCUUGAGUACGGGAGAGGUGAGUGGAAUUCCCAGUGUAGAGGUGAAAUUCGUAGAUAUUGGGAAGAACACCGGUGGCGAAGGCGGCUCACUGGCCCGUAACUGACGCUCAUGCACGACAGCGUGGGGAUCAAACAGG